AUUGAACGCUGGCGGCAGGCCUAACACAUGCAAGUCGAGCGGAUGAAGGGAGCUUGCUCCUGGAUUCAGCGGCGGACGGGUGAGUAAUGCCUAGGAAUCUGCCUGGUAGUGGGGGAUAACGUCCGGAAACGGGCGCUAAUACCGCAUACGUCCUGAGGGAGAAAGUGGGGGAUCUUCGGACCUCACGCUAUCAGAUGAGCCUAGGUCGGAUUAGCUAGUUGGUGGGGUAAAGGCCUACCAAGGCGACGAUCCGUAACUGGUCUGAGAGGAUGAUCAGUCACACUGGAACUGAGACACGGUCCAUACUCCUACGGGAGGCAGCAGUGUGGAAUAUUGGACAAUGGGCGAAAGCCUGAUCCAGCCAUGCCGCGUGUGUGAAGAAGGUCUUCGGAUUGUAAAGCACUUUAAGUUGGGAGGAAGGGCAGUAAGUUAAUACCUUGCUGUUUUGACGUUACCAACAGAAUAAGCACCGGCUAACUUCGUG
rnacentral:rRNA from 1 species